GAAAGAAAGACAGAGCAAUGGGAAGGCUUCAAAGAAUUGGCAGGUCUGACAUUAAAUGAAGUUUUAUCCAAGGCCAAGUAAAGAGAGGAAUAAAGAAGGAUGGUUGACAGAACUUGUGUGGUGCCCCAAUGGUUCAACAGAUUAGGUAAAGUAAUUAGAUUCAUUGUGAAGAUGUGUGCACUGGGCUGGAACAUUUCCAGAGAAAGCUGGACUAGCCAUGCAUCAGCAUACUAGCCAAGAUUGAUACCUCUCCACAAAUCAACAAAGACAUCAACGAAGCUUUGUUAAAGCUAGUGACAAUUUACAUAUGUUUUCUUAUGUGGCUUAAUUAUAAUAAUGUCAAGAAAGUUAAUUAAAU